rnacentral:rRNA from 1 species
CAGUAGUCAUAUGCUUGUCUUAAAGAUUAAGCCAUGCAUGUCUAAGUAUAAGCAUUUAUACCGCGAGACUGCGAACGGCUCAUUAAAACAGUUAUGGUUUAUUUGAUGGUUCCUUUGCUACUUGGAUAACCGUAGUAAUUCUAGAGCUAAUACAUGCACGAAGGGGCGACUUACGAAGCCCUGUAUUUAUUAGAUUAAAGCCAACCGCCUCCGGGCGUCCGUGGUGAAUCAUAGUAACUUAUCGGAUCGCCGGCUCUAUGCCAGCGACGUGUCAUUCAAAUUUCUGCCCUAUCAGCUUUAGAUGGUAGGAUAUGGGCCUACCAUGGCGGUGACGGGUAACGGAGAAUUAGGGUUCGAUUCCGGAGAGGGAGCCUGAGAAACGGCUACCACUUCUAAGGAAGGCAGCAGGCGCGCAAAUUACCCAAUCCUGACUCAGGGAGGUAGUGACAAGAAAUAACAAUAAACCGGCUUAUGCCGGUUUAAUUGGAAUGAGUACAAUUUAAACAUCUUAACGAGGAACAAUUGGAGGGCAAGUCUGGUGCCAGCAGCCGCGGUAAUUCCAGCUCCAAUAGCGUAUACUAAAGUUGUUGCAGUUAAAAAGCUCGUAGUUGGAUUUCUGUGGGGACGGAGCGGCCGGCCGCACAUCGCGGUUCGAGCUAGCGCUUUCCCUACAUCCUGCCGCGAACCGUGCUACCAUUAGUUUGGUGGCGCUGGGGAUCGGCUCGAUUACUUUGAGAAAAAUAGAGUGUUCAAAGCAGGCCACACGCCUUGAAUAAGUUAGCAUGGAAUAAUAACUAAGGACUUCGGUUCUAUUUUGUUGGUGUUCGGGACUGA